rnacentral:hammerhead_ribozyme from 1 species
AAGCGAAACCGCGUCAGUAAUGGCGCGGUAUUCCACGGGUGGUGCUGUGGGACUGAUGAGCGAGCCAACC